UACGUAGGGUGCAAGCGUUGUCCGGAAUUAUUGGGCGUAAAGAGCUCGUAGGCGGUCUGUUGCGUCGGCUGUGAAAACCUGGGGCUCAACCCCGGGCCUGCAGCCGAUACGGGCAGACUAGAAUUCGGCAGGGGAGAGUGGAAUUCCCGGUGUAGCGGUGAAAUGCGCAGAUAUCGGGAAGAACACCUAUGGCGAAGGCAGCUCUCUGGGACGGUACUGACGCUGAGACGCGAAAGCGUGGGGAGCAAACAGG
rnacentral:rRNA from 1 species